CCUACGGGAGGCAGCAGUGGGGAAUAUUGCACAAUGGGGGAAACCCUGAUGCAGCGACGCCGCGUGCAGGAAGACGGCUCUAUGAGUUGUAAACUGCUUUUGUACGAGGGUAAACGCAGAUACGCGUAUCUGUCUGAAAGUAUCGUACGAAUAAGGAUCGGCUAACUCCGUGCCAGCAGCCGCGGUAAUACGGAGGAUUCAAGCGUUAUCCGGAUUUAUUGGGUUUAAAGGGUGCGUAGGCGGUCGGAUAAGUUAGAGGUGAAAUCCCGAGGCUCAACUUCGGAAUUGCCUCUGAUACUGUUCGGCUAGAGAGUAGUUGCGGUAGGCGGAAUGUAUGGUGUAGCGGUGAAAUGCUUAGAGAUCAUACAGAACACCGAUUGCGAAGGCAGCUUACCAAGCUACUUCUGACGUUGAGGCACGAAAGCGUGGGGAGCAAACAGGAUUAGAUACCCGUGUAGUC
rnacentral:rRNA from 1 species